rnacentral:rRNA from 3 species
CGUAGGUGAACUGCGGAAGGAUCAUUA